UUUUUACUAACUUUUGAACCCCUGGUCUGAUUCAUGCCAUUUUUUAAUAUGUUGUUCCCCUGAAUGGAUUGAUUGUGAAUAUGUAAUGUUAUGUGAAUGUGAUGUAUGGUUUUAGAGUUAUGAAAGUUGGGUAGAAAGUAUGUUUUAACUGUAUGUGUAAUUGAAUUUCCUCUCAGGAUAAGGGGAGGGAAUAUGUGGGAUGUAACUGUGA